UGCAGUUUACAGGGUUAUGCCUUAUGGGCCGUUACACGCCCGAUUGGUUGAGAGACUCACCUACUCUCCCCUGACUCACUUGUGAGGUCUGCAUUCGCCACUAAGGUGUGCAAGGCAUAGGCAUAGUGGUGGCCUGCGGAAGCGAAGGCUAGUUUGUGUGUUUCUGAACAUUCAAGCGAUGCCAACGCGAAUCCCGCGAAUUAUUAUUAUUAUUAUUAGUUGUGUUGGAAGUUUUCUUGAACUGGUACAUACAUAUGUACAUGUAGUUGGUGUUUGGCUGUUGUUCAGGCCCUGCCAGGAUAUUGACUUAGUCAAGCGAGCACCAUCAUGGGUGAUAGCAUGGUGUCAGAGCUGAUUGAUGACACCAGCAAAUCGUCAGGCAAAAUCAAGGAUCCUCGCGAUUGUAUGCCUUGUCGGUUGAUUGGCGCUGGCGGUUGCUGGGCUUUAGCAGGGAUAAUCAUGUAUCAAAGGGGCCAGAUAGAGAAGUCACGGAGAAUGGGACGUGCAGGGAUGCUGCUGGGAUUCUCAGUUAUGGUGGCCUUGGGAGGAUAUCGUCUGGUCAACUAACUCGAGUUCUGUCCGGUGCACGUGCUGGCCCACUCAAUGCAAUCUCAAACACACAAGUCUGACAGCCAGUCUCUAAUACGUUACACACAAACAGGAAGUGCGAUGGAGAGAACACAAUCAACGAAGCUAUGCCUGUCCGGUGAUCCCACACACGCAACAGGCAGCUAUCACUUACCACAUCUUCCAUGGAUGUCUUCUCCAUGAACGACGCGCUGAAGUCGAUCUGUAGCGGCUGACACCACUGGAACACGGCCCACUUGGACUCGCGGAAAUUGCCGCCGUGGAACGCCGCCACCAGCAGCUGAUUACCUUGCAGCAGUACGUGGGCAGUCAUGUGUUUAGGACGAGACUGGCCAGCCACGCUGUCAUCCUCGUCGCCACGAUCGUAAUGAGCAGCAGUGGCUGUGCCGUGAUGAGCUGCAGCCGGCGAGGCAGUGGCAUUCUCGUCGGACUUCAUGGCGUCGCGGAUCAGCCAGUACCAAUGGAAGUGAUUGCUUUGACGGCGGGUAGCUGACAGUACAUCAUACAAGAACAGAAUAGCCUCAAAGAGCUGCUGGUCCAAACUCUGUGUGUGUGUGUUUUGAAGUGUGUUUCUUUAUCUGAACCAUCUGUAUUCGACUAACAGUUACCACUGAGACCAUUGCAAGUGUAUUUCACGUGCAUGCUUUAUGAUGCCGUUAUUUCAUCUCUCUUCUACUUCGAAGAGUACUAGUUUAGGAAGGGUGCCAGCUUUCAUAGACGUAUGCCCGUGCUGAGUUGCAACACGCUUUUUUCUCGCGUACUGCAUACACGAUGAUGAAUAAAUCAUGAUGUCUGAAAGGUGACCGAGAAGUAUCUCUUAAUUUUGCUUUCUAACGUUAGUUUGUACACUAAAACUACGUAUGUACAUUCGUAACAUAUACUUCAGCACCAGAA